rnacentral:rRNA from 1 species
UACAGACGGUCCAAACGUUAUUCGGAAUCACUGGGCUUAAAGAGUUCGUAGGCGGUCUAGAAAGUGGGGUGUGAAAGCCCUCGGCUUAACCGAGGAAUUGCGCUCCAAACUACUGGACUUGAGGAGGCUAGAGGUAAGCGGAACUGAUGGUGGAGCGGUGAAAUGCGUUGAUAUCAUCAGGAACACCGGAGGCGAAGGCGGCUUAGCUGGGGCCUAUCGUGACGCUGAGGAACGAAAGCCAGGGGAGCGAACGGGAGUUAG